UCCAUCCAGUUUUCCUUUAAUGGU
rnacentral:siRNA from 1 species